CGCAAACAAAUUAUCCUGUAUAAAUUAAUACGGGUGGUGGAAGUAUACAUUUAUAUCUCGUGUAUUAGCAGAAGUACUUAACUGUUUUUGUUGUGACUUUUACAGUGAAGGAGCCAGGUAAACAAAGCCCCGCCCACAUUUACCUUAAAUGUCCAAGGCACGGAAUUAUGAUUGGCACAGGCUUCAGCUGCGAUUCUGAGUCAUGGCGGAGUUUGUAGUCUCGAGGAGGAGGCUCCUCAGGAGUUUCUACACUUUCCAGCAUGUCGAGAGAACUUACUUUCAGGAAGAAUAAUUCUUUGUAGUGUAAACACAGUGGGGCCUUAAACGACAGGGACGUGUUUUUGUCUUUUUCCCGACGAGGACGGAGUAGGAGCUUCGUUGGGAAAAUGUGUUGUCAUCUCCGUGUAGUCAACAGCCUUGGGCAACAAAUAUGGCCACUUCUUGUGUAUCCUUCAGUUUGGGUUGAGAACCGUCCCAACCGGGCCGUACGUAAGAGUUCCGCGGAGUUCUUUCGACUGUAGUCCGAAGCGAAGUUAACUACCAGGAAGAUUACGCUGGAUUUGUCCCGAAGCUGGUUUGGUUGAAGCACAGGCGGGUGGAGGGGGAGUGAGGAGCGACACGGAGAGAGUGCAGAGAUGGAGCCCAGGCAUAAAGAGUUACUGGAGAAAUGCUACCAGAACUUAAUGGAGUCACUAACAGACGUGGAGCGAGUGGUGGAUGUUUUGUUUCACUGCGGGACACUCAGCCAGUCUGAACGCUACGAGCUGGGCAACAGCUGUUCGUCCAACUCGGAGAAAGUGGAUCUUCUCCUGAAGAUCCUGCUCAGUAAGGACACAGACUAUUUCUCAGAGUUUUGUUCAGCCCUGGAGAAGACUCACCCUUACCUGUACUCACUGCUUCUGAAUGGGUCUGGACCAGUGGAUCACACGACUGGGUCCACUUACAGUGUCCUGUCCACCAUGCCAUCCGACUCUGAAAGCAGCAGCUCCCUGAGCAGCUUAGGUACGCCAGCUCAAGCCUCCUCUCCUCCACCUGCCCACAUGGACAACCACUCUGUCAACGAAAAGAUGGAGACGGUCCUGUUCCAGCUCAGACAUGUGACCCGUGAGAGGGACGAACUGCGUAAACGUCUGGCUCUCUCUUCACCCGGAAGCACUUUUGAUGACUGCAGACCAAACUCAAAAGCAGGUCAUGACUAUGAGCGUCUGAAGCUGCAGUGCAUGAAGGCGAUGGCAGACCUGCAGUCGCUGCAAAACCAACAUAGCACCACCCUGAAGAGGUGCGAGGAGGCGGUGAAGAAAGCUGACUUCUACCAUACGCUGCACAGUCGUCUGGCCAGUGAACAGACCCAGAUGAAGGAGGAGCUUGAGGCGCUGAGACAGGACAACAUUCAGUUGGUCAGGGAGCAUAACCAUAUGAAGCAGGCCUGUGAAGAGCUGAGAAGACUACAUGAUGAAGACCAGCGGGAAGUAGCCGAUAUGAGGAUUCUGCACCAGCAGGUGAUGAGAGAGGGGUCAUCUGAUGUCCUCAACAAGCUGUACGACACAGCGCUGGAUAAGUUAGAGGCCAUGAAGAACGACUACGAGGCCCUGAGGAAGCGCUAUAACGAGAAGACGGCCGGUCAUAAUGUGGACCUCAGUCGCCUGGACCAGGCCGAGGAGGAGAACCUUCGUUUGCAGAAACAGCUGGACCUUCUGCUGAAGCAGAGAGACGUCGCCAUCCACUACCAGCAGCAAUACUCCUCGUCUUUGAGAAGAUUUGACAGCACACAUCAGGAACUGUCCAAGGCCGCUGCUCAGAACAAGGAGCUGCAGCGAGAGAUGGAGCGGCUGCAGUCAGAGGCCACACGGCUGAAGACCCAGCAGCUCAAGGCUGCGAAGGACAGCGAAAAAUACAAGGAGGAACGAGAUUCCGUGAUCAGUGAGUAUCGUUUGAUCAUGAGCGAGCGGGACCAAGUGAUCAAAGAGGUGGACAGACUUCAGACCGGACUGGAGGUGGCGGAGGCCAAGCUGAAGAAUACUUCUUCAGAGAGACGGGUGGCUAAUGAGGAGCUGGAGGCUCUCAGACAGGAGUUAUCUUCAGCUCUAGUCGACAGGGACCGGGCCAUUUGUGAAAAGAACGAGCUGCUGGAGAAAUACUGCCACGAGGUGAAGGACAAGGCCGAGGCCCAGAAAGAGCUCAGUCAGGCCUGCAAGGACAUCGAAAUGGUGCGAGAGGAGAGGGACGUGGCCCGCAAGGAGAGGACGGAGGCCAUCAUCCAGAGGGACCAGCUGUUGCGAGAGUAUUACCAGGCUAGACAGAAGCAAGACUGUGCUACUAUGGACAUGGAACGUGCCAACAAGGAAAUUGAGAUGCUGAGGAAACAGUACGAGGCAAUUUCUCAGGAGCUGAAAGAGGCUCUGCAGGAGGCAGAGGUCGCCAAGUGUCGACGUGACUGGGCCUUCCAGGAGAGGGACAAGAUAGUGGCAGAACGGGAGAGCAUUCGUACGUUAUGUGACAACCUGAGGAGAGAGAGGGACCGAGCUGUGAGUGAACUGGCCGAUGCUCUGAGGAAUCUGGACGAUAUGAGGAAACAGAAAAACGAUGCUGCACGAGAACUCAAAGAACUAAAAGAAAAGAUGGAGGAACAGUUGGAAGUAGAAGCGCGGUUUCGUCAGUUGAUGGCCCACAGUUCUCAUGACUCUGCCAUUGACACUGACUCAAUGGAGUGGGAGACGGAAGUUAUUGAGUUUGAAAAGCACAGAGACAUGGAUUUGAAAGCACUCGGAUUUGAAAUUGCUGAGGGCGUCAAUGAUCCAUAUUUACCUGGAGACAGUGGCAUAUUUGUCAGUAAGGUGGAAAAAGGAAGUAUUGCUGAAGGAAGAUUAAGAGUCAAUGAUUGGCUGUUAAAAAUUAAUGAUGUGGACUUGACCAAUAAGGACAAGAAGCAGGUGAUUAAUGCUGUUCUGAGUGAAGAGGGAGUGAUCAAUAUGGUGGUACGCCGAAGAAAGUCACUCGGGGGACGAAUUGUCACUCCCAUCCAGAUUAACCUGGUUGGACACAAAGAUAGUGGCAUAGGCCUGGAAGGUGGAGUGUUUGUUGCCUCUUUGGCUGCCAGUAGUCCAGCGACCAGAGAUGGUGCCCUUACUGUUGGUGACAGACUCAUAGCUAUCAAUGGAAUUGCUCUUGACAACAAGUCACUCAGUGAAUGUGAGUCUCUGCUUAGAAACUGUCGGGAUUCUCUGAGCAUCUCUCUUAUGAAGUUUCUCCCACACAGUUGCUCUGGUCAGAGCUUAUUUGAAAGUUUGAAAGACUCCGAAAAGAUCUCCAGACUCCAGACGUGCGAGGUGCACACAGGGAACUGCAGGAAUCUGAAACACAACUGCUCCACACAAACUGACAUAUGCAGCUGUGACCUAGGCUGCAGAGGCAGGCAAGGGAGCAAGGAUACGGGAGACUCUCAGGACAGCAGCACCAACGCUCCUUCUCCUCACCAGACCUUCUCCAACAGCUCGCUGCACUCUCGCUCUCUCUCCACAUCAUACACCCCCUCAGAACCUCAUCCAGACAUCUGCUACAGGCGGCAGGACGUUCAACAUCGACCAUACACAUUCACCACUGUGAUCACUGAGCGCACCUCACCAGGGAUGGCUCCCCAGACUCUGGAACGAGUACAGAACUCGCCAGCCAAGCCAAGUGGAGGCACAUGGCCGAAAGUAAUAGCUGGUGCUUCAGUCCCGGAGUACGCCCAGCUGUCCAUCUACAAAAAACCCAAACAGAGGAAGUCCAUCUUCGAUGUGAACAUGUUCAGGAGACCUGAGGUGCAGCCAAAGCUGGAUUACAUGUCUGUUUCCCAGCUCCCCAAACACUCGCCACAGAGCUCAAUGUCCGAGUCGGCCCAGACCCCUCCCACCCCGCCUGCUAGAAGUGACUCUUUCAGGUUCAAACAUCGGCAUCAGAACAGCUCUGCCUCAGACUCGACCAUCACCACUGAUACUCCUCCUGCUUCUCCUGGUCAACCUACUGGACCACAGGAUGAAGGAGAGGCAGGAAGUCAAUUUUAUUACAGUGAUGCUUCUCCAGGAGAGAUGAAGAGCAGUGCCAAAAAAACAGCCGCAGACGAGGGUGGUGCGAACAGGGCAGUGGGGCAGGAAAAGAGGAGAUUUCGACCAAAAUCUGCUCCAGCGCUGCGUAGAAACAUGACUCCACUUCACAUCCCUGUCCCCAUGCAGGUACAAAGUUUCUCCAAUGAUGAGUACUCCCCAGAGCCUGGAGAUUUGUUGCGCUUUUCUCCUAUGAGAACAAAUCGGUACAGCAUGCCAUUUGCCCCUCCAAGCUACAGCACCAUUACAGCACACUCCACACAGCGAGGUCUGGCUCCGUGUUCUGCUGUGACCGCUGUGAUGAGAAAUCCAGUCUUCACUGCCUGGAGCCACGAGAUCCAAAACAACAACAACAACUCUCCCCCCACUCCAAGUUCAGAAGUCCAUCAGCAUGCACAUGCAAGCCCUCAGCAUCAGUGUCGCCUCAGUCUGGAUCUCAGCCACAAGCGAGCCGGGGAGUCGACAGAGACAAAAUGCAGCCAGCAACCUCACACCACCAACUCGCUACCUUCAAGUGCCAGGCUGGGCUCCUUGAGUACUUUACAGUUUAAGGCGGAACGGAUUAAAAUCCCUCCAGCUCGUUAUCCCCAUUCCUCUGGAUCUGACAGAGGUUCUCUCACACAUUCAGAGUGUAGCAGCCCAACACCUCCAAUAUCUCCCGUCAACAUGGAGACAUCGUCUUUCAGCAGCAGCCAGUCACAGAGUUCCAUUUCCACCCAGCCAAGGAUAUCAGUCAGUCCUGCUCCUGUUUGCGACAGGAGGAAAGAUGGACCAGUGACUAUCAACAGGCGGCCUGCAGGCAGAAUCCAGCCCGCCGAGCCGUCCAAUCCUGCCCACAACUGGAUUCCAAAUCCAUACCUGGAGGAGCCACGUAGUGUGACAGUGCAGAAAGGAGCUGAACCCCUGGGUAUUUCAAUCGUCAGUGGGGAAAACGGCGGCGUAUUUGUGUCCAAAGUGACUGCUGGCAGCAUCGCACAUCACGCCCGCUUAACAUAUGGAGACCAGCUCCUGGAGUUCAAUGGGAUCAACCUCCGGAACGCCAAUGAGCAGCAGGCACGGCUGGUGAUUGGGCAGCAGUGUGAUACAGUCACUAUUCUGGCUCAGUAUAACCCUCACAUGUUUCAACUGGGCAACCAUUCACGUUCAGGAUCACGUAUGGAGUCCUUAAGCAGCCAGCCGACACUUCAAGGCAGCGGGGCCACCACUCCAGACAACACGGGUGUCAUAGAUAUGUUUGAAGAACACGAUGAUGGCGCAACUGUCACCAGUGCUAACAACUCAUUUCGACUUGCUACCUUAGGUUCAUGCAGGGCUGCAGAGCCUCGGCUGGUAAGGCUGAAGAGGAUUCAUGGGGAGCUGGGAGUUCAGAUCUGUGGAGGAAACCUGUUUGGUAUUUUUGUGGAGAGUCUGGAUGACGACAGUCCUGCUAAGAGUCCUGACGGCCUGCAGCCAGGGGACCUGCUGCUGGAGUACAACGGAACGAGCAUGAAGAAUAAAACUAAAGAAGAAGCUUAUUUGGAAAUGUUAAAACCAGCAGAAACAAUCACCUGUAAAGUACAGAGCUACGCAGACCACCUGGCUACAAUCAAAGACACUCCAGGAGAUGGAUUCUUUAUAAGAACACUUUAUGAGAGGGUUGCUGAAGUAGAACAAGAGCUAAGCUUCAAGAAGGACGACAUCCUGUAUGUAGAAGACACUCUUCCUAACGGAAGCUUCGGCUACUGGACGGCAUGGCGACUUGACGAGAACGCACACAAGCUGGAGCGAGGGCAGAUCCCAAGUAAAUACAUAAUGGACCAGGACUUCUGCAGGAGACAGAGCAUGGCUGAUAUGAAAGAUGACGGCAGCACCAGCAAGACGUUGUCUGCUGCUGCGCGGCGGUCCUUUUUCCGGCGAAGGCUUAAACACAAACGCAGCGGGUCCAAGGAUGGGAAGGAUUUGAUGUCGUUGGACUCUAUGAGCACAGAUUCGUUCCCCAUCACAGAGGAUGCUGGGAACCUGAUGUAUCAGCAAGUACAGAAGGUGGAGGGCUCGUCUCCCAGGCCAGUGCUGAUUUUAGGACCACUGGUGGAGCCCUGUAAGGACAUGCUGGUGAAGGAGGCUCCUGCUAAAUUCUGCCGCUGUCUGCCAGAGAUUAUGAAGGCCUCUCAGCAGGCAAUAGAGCGAGGAGUGAAGGACUGUGUGUUCAUCGACUACAAACGUAGGAGUGGCCAUUUUGACGUGACGACUGUCGCCUCAAUAAAGGAAAUCACAGAGAAGGACUGUCACUGUUUGCUAGACAUCGCUCCGUACGCCAUGGAACGCCUUCACAGCGUUCACAUCUACCCGAUUGUCAUUUUCAUUCGCUACAAAAAUGCCAAGCAGAUAAAGGAACAGAAGGAUCCGCUGUACCUGCGCGAUAAACUAUCACAGAGACAUUCCAAGGAGCAGUUUGAGGUGGCACAGAAAACGGAGCAGGAGUACAGCCGCUUCUUCACAGGUGUCGUCCAAGGAGGCAGCGUCUCCUACAUUUGCACUCAGAUCCUGACCAUUGUGGAGCAGGAGCAAAGUAAAGUACUGUGGAUUCCACACGGAGCACCUUAGAACUUUCACCCAAUCACUCAUUUUGUUUUAAACUUCUAUUAUGGGUCGCACGGUGAACGGGUGCACUCAACUCCAAUUCUCUUCACCUGCACUGACGAGGAUGGUGUAAAUAUUUCCACUGCAGUAGAGUUGUACUGUACCACACAUAGCUUUGUUUACACUAGCACUUGUUACUUGAACGUUCUAUUCCUCCUUAAAUCUAGUAGCACUUCCUUAAUUGAACCGUGAGUAAGUCGGACUGGACCAUAGGAAUAUACAUGGAUGCAAACUAAAGACUUAAUUCUGGAUAUGAAGAAACUGGGAGCAGUGUGCUCCUCUCUAUAUAUUUAUGUGUUUAUUUUCUCUCCUGCCAUUUAUUUAUCUAAACAGUUUAGUGAUGUCGGAUACGAACGUUUGUUAUACAAAUGAAUUUAUCUAGUCAACAGAAAGGAGAUUUGUAUUUCUAGAAGAAAUCGGGGCAGGUUGGCUUCCUUCUGUUCUUUUUCUCUUACCCUGUGUAACCAGAUCUUUGAAUGUUGACAUCAUUUCAGUGCUAAGACUAAUAAUGUGCCAAGCUAAACAUAUUUUAAUCACUUUACAUUCUUUUUUAUUAUUAACUGCCAUAAUGAUUCAAACUACAGGUAUGUUGGUGUAACCAGUUUACUCAAUUGUUUUGUGUUUGUUGUUGAAUAUACUGUUUCUCAAGUGUACUUUUAAGAAGGGAUUAUUUGUUUCCCGGGUCAUGGUCGGCUGUCACUACAUUCACCUUGAUUAUUGCAGUGUCAACAUUUCAUGAUAAAGCUGGACGAAACCUCAGCAGUAGGUCAUGAAGAUGGCGUGUUGAACAGAUUUGACUCUUUCUGACCUGGACACAUCGAUGGAGCGGCAGCGCAGUCAUCGGGAAGAAACCUCCACCCUUUUGAGAAGUAAAAGGAAAGGAAAGUGAACUACUUUUCAUUGUGACACUGCACACCACUGCACACACUCUGCAUUUAACCCAUCACCAAGGUGAACAGUGGGCAGCUUUAAGGGGGAGCAGUGUGUGAGGAUGGUGCCAUGCUCAGAGCACCUCAGUGGUGACUUGGCAGCUGGUGGACUUGAACCUGAAGUCCGCUUUCUUAACCUCUAAGCCACCACUGCUCCCCACUCUUCUCUCUGGUUCUUUCCCAACAGCAGUGAACAAAGAGCAGAGAUGUAGCCGCUCUGCUCCGCUCAGCCGGCUGCAGUCUGUUCACUAGUCUGUGGUAAAGGUUCAUCUUUGUUCGCUCUCUGCUCGGUUAGUUUCACUUUUUAAAUUGCUUUUCAUGCACUGGUGACUUCCUAAAUGUGUCAGGUCAUCUGGGAAAAAAAACUUAUCUGAACAUAUGAAAGUUGAAUGUGGUGCUCCCAUUCGUGAAGAACAUUUGCAUACCACCUCAUGGCUAUGGAAAUGAAUCUUCAAAUCUUCAACAACAACAACCCGUCCCUCUCAUACUCUUCUGCUACUGCUCACUGUCUCAAACAGUACCACAGUUCCUACCUUGGAGCCCUAUUAAAUACUUUCUCUAAAUCCACAAGACAGUGCUGCUCUUUCUGGCCUUCUCUGCAGGCAGUCUAUUAAGCAAAACCUGAGUCAGUAGUACUUCUUCAGGGCAUAGACCCAAAGAGCUGCUCACUGAUCUGUGCCGUUUUAGUGCUUGCACUGAAUGAGACUACACGCACUUGACAGUAAAGAUUCUGGUAGAUCCUGAAAAGUACAUUUAUAUUAGACUCAAAUUCCAUUAAGUUAAAAACCUUGUCAAAUUAUGAACCAAUAUCUAGUCAUCCUUUGGUGUCACAUGUACAGCAACCUUUUUUCUUUCUUUUUUUUUAAAAAAUUUCCACUUGCAAGUGUCAGGUUCCUAAUGGGUUUUGGUUUUCACAUAAAGAAUUGGUCGUUUGAAGUACCAGCUAAUGAGAAAAUUAGAUUUACAAAUUUAUCUUCUCCCUUUAAUUCCUUUACAUGGUCACAGGGGAACUGGAACUGGUGGCAAUAGGCAAUAACCACUGUGUAAAUCUAUGGUGUUUGUUAUAUCUGCCAACUUUUACACCAGGGCUCUCCUCAAAGACCUCAAGGUUCAGUGCGUUAUUUGUCCACCAGGUGGCGUAAACCACAACCAGUGCAGGUGAGAAAUUGUUUUCACACCACUUUGUCACAUCUGCUUAUAAUAGAAAAAACACUUUUUUUACUGAUUGGCGAGAUGUUAAUUGUUUUGAAUCAGAUCCGCAGUUAUGACGCUGCUUUAUGUACAGAGCACUGCUCUUUGUCCUGUUACUGUCAUUUUGUAGUUUUAAGGAGUCCAUAAAAACAAAAACUACUUCUUAUUUUUUUUAUCUUAUAUUUCAGUUAGACAGCUACUCUGUCUAUCCUGCAAUUAAAGCAAAGGAAAUGCUUAAUACUUAAUGAAAACUUAAUACUAAAAAAUGAAGCAGGUGGAAUUCUUUUGUCUGUGUUUUGUAAUUUGACUUCAGCGUUUGUCAUUCAGUGUAAACCCAUGCCCCCACAUGUAGGUGUUUGACGGAUGUGACCACAAAGUAACAGUCAUCAAAGAUGGAUGAAGCGGUCACUAUAAAUAACCAAACAUCCAGAUAAGCAUCGACGUCGACUAUUGAUGGCUCCUCCUCCGUCCGCCACCUGUAAAUCUGCGGUGCCAUCUUCCACAGCGACUGGAUGUGACAGGCAGCUUCCAGAGCCGCAGCAGCGGGGACAGGGCGUCUGAAGACCGCUGCUUGUUUCCCGACGAAGCUUUCCUUAUAAUAAAGAUCGGCUCAACGCGACUUUUGACGCAGGCGGCAGCGCAUUCAACAGGGCGCGGAGCCCCUGCAAGCUGGAGGUGGAGGAGUGAUCCAUCCAUCCAUCCACUGACAGGAGAGGACUUUCAUUUACCACGCUGUAAAUUCACGAGCGCUGUGCACGCAGUCGUGAGUUCACUAUAACUUUGACGGACGCUUUAUUUAUUGUUAUUACGCGAGCACUGAAAGUAACGCGCAAGCGCCGCCAAGGAGGGCGCAUCAUAUAAGGCGCACGACUGAAUCUGCAUUUCAAAGGAA